rnacentral:rRNA from 1 species
GUGGGGAAUCUUGUGCAAUGGGCGAAAGCCUGACGCAGCCAUGCCGCGUGAAUGAUGAAGGUCUUAGGAUUGUAAAAUUCUUUCACCGGUGAAGAUAAUGACUGUAGCCGGAGAAGAAGCCCCGGCUAACUUCGUGCCAGCAGCCGCGGUAAUACGAAGGGGGCUAGCGUUGCUCGGAUUUACUGGGCGUAAAGGGCGCGUAGGCGGACAUUUAAGUCAGGGGUGAAAUCCCGGGGCUCAACCUCGGAACUGCCUUUGAUACUGGGUGUCUUGAGUAUGAGAGAGGUGUGUGGAACUCCGAGUGUAGAGGUGAAAUUCGUAGAUAUUCGGAAGAACACCAGUGGCGAAGGCGACACACUGGCUCAUUACUGACGCUGAGGCGCGAAAGCGUGGGGAGCAAACAGGAUUAGAUACCCUGGUAGUCC